GUGAACGUCUUUUAAAUCUGUCUUCCUCCAUAGUUCCUUUGUCUUUGGUUUCAGUUUUUCUACGCUCUUUUCUGAGGCAUAAAAUAUUCUAGAUAGAAUCAUAACCCUUUAAUACCAUCUUCUUCACCUCCGGAGCUUAAUCACCUGGCACCCGGUGUGCGUGUUAAAAACAUGCGUGGUGAGUGAAUAAACUACUGAAUUUAUUUUUUUGUCCACACACAGGCACCAUCCAUGCAUACCAAAGUCCCAGCAAUGACGACAUUCAUGAAUAGAAAACUGGAAUAUAUUUCACCGUGGGAAAAAUGUUCUUAUUGAUUCAGGAUCAAAAUGGAGAAGCAAGUACAGGAUGAUGAUCUUAAUGAGCUCUUUUAGAGUCAAAGAAAGAGGUCCACGAAGAGGAUUUACCCUUUCCUUCCUGCCUUGGCAUAUUUUCGUGUGAGGACGGGAUGCUUGGAACUGUGGCAGCCACCUUGUGACCAAGAGGGGAAAAUACAGAGACAGCAGAGAAGCUGACGCAACGCAGAGCCUCAAUAC
rnacentral:lncRNA from 1 species